GGAAUCCACACUGUAAUUCCAUCUGCUUAAUAGUUGUAUCCUGCCCUUUCCAAAUAUAGUUUGUUUCCCACCAAACGCUGUGGUUCUGUUAGAAAACACGCUUUUUUUGUAUCGAUAAAAAGUACUUUUUUUCUCGGAUUCGAGCAUUAAAACCACAUGUUUAAAGUGUCUCUGAGACGGAGACUAAUUACUGAUGACAGUAGAGGUUGGGUCACUCAUUCCUCAUGCUGAACUGGGCACGGCUAUGACUUUGUUGGACCCAAACAACAGUACAGUUCACAGAUUGAAAUGGCAGUGAUGGCACAAGAUGUCCCUGGAGGCAGAUAAAAACAGUUUUGUGGUUUCCAAGGAGAGAAGUACAUCCUGUGGCUUUCAGGGUGCUGAAGAGAAAGAGGAGAUCCCAGGGAUGGGAGAGGACAGUGUUCUGGAAAUGCUGAGCUACUCCAAAUUUACAGACCUGGAGACAUGGCUGUGUAUGCCUUCUACACUGCUGCCGAGAAGUUUGGAAUCAUUAUGUGCCACCUCUCAGUCCCUGACACCUAGUGAAACUGCAGACGCUGAGAAGAAACCCAGACCGCCGGAGGGGGACACCCCGUUCUUGUCACCACCCACAAUGGCACCUCAGUCAUCAAGGUCACCGUCACCCAUUCCUAUGGGGUCCCCAGUGCCCUCUUCGUUGGAUUCUUCAGGGAGCUCUGUCCAGGGAGGGGUUAGCGUCAGGAAGCGCCGGCGUCUGGCUGCGAGUCCUGGGGGACUGCGCUGGAAUUCUUCAGGGUUGUUGCAGCGGGACUAUGACACAGCUGAAACCCUGCCUGCUCCAGGGGCCAAGCGCAGCCCUGGCAGUGACACCAGCCUCCACACUGGCCUCUUGGGAGACUUGCAAAGAGCUACCCUGACGAAGAGUGUUUCUGUAGAUGACCGCCUGUUUCAGAAACAACACAAAGAGUCGCACAAACUACUUACACGCUUGGAAAGGGGCAAGAACAAGCUGCGAAAUAUCCAUAGCCUUGGAUCAACUGGCAGAUACGAGACACAUAAAAAGGUGAGUAAAUUGCUCAAGGCUAGUAUACCUGGAAGUGAGACUCAAACCUGCAACCUUGGGUCCAAAGGCAACAGCACUAACCACUACACUAUCAGCUGCCCUGUUUAUAAAACAAUAUCUUCCAGCAAAAUAUUUUUACUGUUAUUCUCUUACGCUUUUAGCCAAGAUGAUGAGAGGGUCAUCAUUUUUGGAUAGAAUGAUGUCUAAUAUGCAUCCAGAUAGGAGGAAGGAUAGUGGGAAAGUAUGACUUCAUUGCUCAGAAAGUGAAUGACAACUGGUUCCACUUGCUCCCUGGUGUCCAGUUCAUUUCUGUUAUUAAUUACAUCAGAUCAUGCACCUAUUCAUUUCAUUUUACCUUUUCAAUAACUAUUUGAGAUAAAAAGCAAAAUGACUUAGAUUCUUUUUUCAGUUUUACCACUGUGUACUGUCCACUGAACUGGCACAGAAAAUAAUUGCAGCUAGGUAAAAUAAAUGGAAUGUAGAGGCAUGAUGGAUACUUUGA
rnacentral:lncRNA from 1 species